UGAAGUCUUCGGAUGGAUAGAAGAACCCCUGAUGCCGUCGAGCCAAGAAAAGUUUCUAAGUUUAGCUAAUGUUGCCCGUACCGUAAACCGACACAGGUGGGUGGGAUGAGUAUUCUAAGGCGCGUGGAAGAACUCUCUUUAAGGAACUCUGCAAAAUAGCACCGUAUCUUCGGUAUAAGGUGUGGUUAGCUUUGUAUUAGGAUUUACUCCGAAAGCAAGGAAACUUACAACAAAGAGUCCCUCCCGACUGUUUACCAAAAACACAGCACUCUGCUAACUCGUAAGAGGAUGUAUAGGGUGUGACGCCUGCCCGGUGCUCGAAGGUUAAUUGAUGGGGUUAGCAUUAGCGAAGCUCUUGAUCGAAGCCCGAGUAAACGGCGGCCGUAACUAUAACGGUCCUAAGGUAGCGAAAUUCCUUGUCGGUUAAAUACCGACCUGCAUGAAUGGCGUAACGAGAUGGGAGCUGUCUCAAAGAGGGAUCCAGUGAAAUUGUAGUGGAGGUGAAAAUUCCUCCUACCCGCGGCAAGACGGAAAGACCCCGUGGACCUUUACUACAGCUUGACACUGCUACUUGGAUAAGAAUGUGCAGGAUAGGUGGGAGGCUUUGAGUAUAUGACGCCAGUUGUAUAUGAGCCAUUGUUGAGAUACCACUCUUUCUUAUUUGGGUAGCUAACCAGCUUGAGUUAUCCUCAAGUGGGACAAUGUCUGGUGGGUAGUUUGACUGGGGCGGUCGCCUCCCAAAUAAUAACGGAGGCUUACAAAGGUUGGCUCAGAACGGUUGGAAAUCGUUCGUAGAGUAUAAAGGUAUAAGCCAGCUUAACUGCAAGACAUACAAGUCAAGCAGAGACGAAAGUCGGUCUUAGUGAUCCGGUGGUUCUGUGUGGAAGGGCCAUCGCUCAAAGGAUAAAAGGUACCCCGGGGAUAACAGGCUGAUCUCCCCCAAGAGCUCACAUCGACGGGGAGGUUUGGCACCUCGAUGUCGGCUCAUCGCAUCCUGGGGCUGGAGCAGGUCCCAAGGGUAUGGCUGUUCGCCAUUUAAAGCGGUACGCGAGCUGGGUUCAGAACGUCGUGAGACAGUUCGGUCCCUAUCUGCCGUGGGCGUAAGAAGAUUGAAGAGAUUUGACCCUAGUACGAGAGGACCGGGUUGAACAAACCACUGGUGUAGCUGUUGUUCUGCCAAGAGCAUCGCAGCGUAGCUAAGUUUGGAAAGGAUAAACGCUGAAAGCAUCUAAGCGUGAAGCCAACUCUAAGAUGAAUCUUCUCUAAGCUCUCUAGAAGACUACUAGUUUGAUAGGCUGGGUGUGUAAUGGAUGAAAGUCCUUUAGCUGACCAGUACUAAUAGAGCGUUUGGCUUAUCUUU
rnacentral:rRNA from 1 species